UUAAACUGAAGAGUUUGAUCCUGGCUCAGAUUGAACGCUGGCGGCAUGCCUUACACAUGCAAGUCGAACGGCAGCACGGGUGCUUGCACCUGGUGGCGAGUGGCGAACGGGUGAGUAAUACAUCGGAACA
rnacentral:rRNA from 3 species